rnacentral:rRNA from 1 species
UAUGAUGACGGUACCGUUUGCAAGCUCCGGCUAACUCCGUGCCAGCAGCCGCGGUAAUACGGGGGGAGCAAGCGUUGUUCGGAUUUACUGGGCGUAAAGGGCGCGUAGGCGGUCGUGACAAGUCACUUGUGAAAUCUCCGGGCUUAACUCGGAACGGUCAAGUGAUACUGUCGGACUAGAGUACAGAAGGGGCAACUGGAAUUCUCGGUGUAGCGGUGAAAUGCGUAGAUAUCGAGAGGAACACCUGCGGCGAAGGCGGGUUGCUGGGCUGAUACUGACGCUGAGGCGCGAAAGCCAGGGGAGCGAACGGGAUUAGAUACCCCGGUAGUCCUGGCCUUAAACGAUGAAUGCUUGGUGUCUCGGGUUAUAAAGUCCCGGGGUGCCGUCGCUAACGCUUUUAGCAUUCCGCCUGGGGAGUACGGUCGCAAGACUGAAACUCAAAGGAAUUG